rnacentral:rRNA from 1 species
UACGAAGGGGGCUAGCGUUGUUCGGAAUCACUGGGCGUAAAGGGCGCGUAGGCGGCCCCCCAAGCCAGGCGUGAAAGCCCCGGGCUCAACCCGGGAGGUGCGCUUGGGACUGGGGGGCUCGAGUCCGGGAGAGGAUGGCGGAAUUCCCAGUGUAGAGGUGAAAUUCGUAGAUAUUGGGAAGAACACCGGUGGCGAAGGCGGCCAUCUGGACCGGCACUGACGCUGAGGCGCGAAAGCGUGGGGAGCAAAC